rnacentral:lncRNA from 1 species
AUGUAUUCAGCAAACUGUUCAUUCUUACAGUGUUACAGAAAUUUAAACAGUCUUAAGUAUGGAAAACUUAUGAACACCCCUUUGAAAGCAUACACCUUGCCCCAGUUUCUGCUGCAACCAAAGGAGACUCCAACUCUCCAAUUCCAAUUUUGCAGGCACUUCGCAGAAUUGCUUUUUUCCACGAUAAUGAGCAAGAACGGGGUCCUGGAGCCCUCUGGUGGAUGUCUUGCAGAAGACAGGCAGCUGAAAGCGGCUGAGACUUUGGUUCUGUUCUUUGUGAUAUCACUAGUUGUGGCAAUCGCACUUCUCGGUGCCUUCAUUUCCUUACCCAUGACAUGGAUAUAGAGUAUUUAAUCUCCUCUGGAAAAAUAUUUGAAAUCCAUGGUAGAAGACUGAUAAAUGUGAGUAAAAUACCACUCUGUGAUUAUGGUUUUGUUAUUCCAUGUUUUCUAUCUUGCUUUUCCG